CUGACCAAGAGAAACUAAACUAGAGCCCAGUAGGUCAGGACAAGUGGCCCUAGUGUAGUUCUGAAUGAGUGUCUGUACUGUACUGUAGGUGGAGGUUGAUAAACAGAAGUUCCGAGGCUCGGGGCCCAAUAAGAAAGUAGCGAAGGCUUGCGCUGCCCUGGCUGCUCUGAAGAGACUCUUCUCUGACUCCAAAGACCCCCGCAACAAGAAGAGGAGACCCACCACACUGGUGAAGAGAACUGUGUCAUCAACCGUGACUAUCCCAGCCCAUGCCCAUUCCAGGCCUAGAACAAGGCCAGUGAUGCAUAGAGCACCCUACAUCAGCACUCCCCCCACCCAUGGCUACCUCCCAAUAGGCUAUGGAGCUCCAUAUGGUUAUGGUACUGCAGCUCCCCUCCCUGCCUAUGGCGGCCUGUACAUUGACAGUGCCUUUUACCAGCCACAGACUAUUGCCACUCCUAUUAUAAUUCACCUGGGUCCUCAGGAUCUCUUCUGACCUCAACAGCCAGCAGGGGAUCUCAUUUGACCUCUGCUCUCUAGAGCCAUCAGGGGAUGACUUGGCGUUUUGACUUAGCUUCCUGUCUGACCAGGCUCUCAUUUCCUUAUUAAAGGGAUACUUCAGGAUUUUUGCAAUGAGACCUUUUAUGUACUUUGUGGAUAUCAUUUUUAUGUCUGUGUCCAGUAUGAACGUCUAGUAACCCAAAGGUUGCAAUUUUGUUCAAAUCUCAUCACGAACAACUUCAGCGUUUUUUGUUAAUUAGCAACUUUUCAACUACAAAUAUGUUAGCUAACCAUUCCCCAAAUCUUAACCCUUUUAGCUAACCCUAACUUUAACCCUUUAGCUAACCCUUCCCUUAACCCUAACGUUUUAACCUAACUCCUAAACUUAACCUUAACCCUAACCACUAGCCUAGCGUUAGCCAUCUAGCAAGAAUUUGUAACAUAUCAUACAUUUGGUAAAUUCAUAACAUAUCAAAUGUUUAGCAAAUUUGUAACAAAUAAACUGAAGAAAAACAAACGCAACAUGUAAAGUGUUGGUUCCAUGUUUCAUGAGCUGAAAUAAAAUAGCCCAGACAUUUUCCAUACACACAAAAAACGUAUUUCUCUCAAAUGUUGUUCACAAAUUUGUUUACAUCCCUGUUAGUGAGCAUUUCUCUUUCGCCAAGAUAAUCCAUCCACCUGAUAGGUGUGGCAUAUGAAGAAGCUGAUUAAACAGCAUGAUCAUUACACAGGUAAACACUGUGCUAGGGACAACAUUUCUCUAAAAUGUGCAGUUUUAACACACAACACAAUGCCACAGAUGUCUCAAGUUUAGAGGGAGCGUGCAAUUGGCAUGCUGACUGCAGGAAUGUCCACCAGAGCUGUUGCCAGAUAAUUUUAUGUUCCUUUCUCUACCAUAAGCCGCCCUCAUAUUGGGAUGCAGCUACCCAUACUUGACACUACCUCUAUCUUCCUUCGUACUAGACACGGAGACAUACACUCGUGAAUACCAUGUUUAUCUGACUCUGGGGAAGUAGAUAAAAGGCCUCAUUGCCAAAAUCACAAAGUAUACCUUUAAGACUGUGUCUAGAUUCUCCACCUCCACCCUUCUCAUGAAUUGUGCAAGUGCACACUAGGUUGGAAAAUCGGGACCCAUCUCUGAGCAGAUAUCAAUCCAAGAAGAAGCAAUACAUCAGAGUUGGAAUUAUUUCCGAAUAUGUUGCAAUACUUGACUUUAGCUUCAAAUACUUGGAAAUAGUGGAAAUGGAUUGGCACAACACUGCAAUAUUCAUGUGAUAUACACUGACUAUACCAAACAUUAAGAACACCUUUCUAAUAUUGAGUUGCACCCUCC